CAUUUCCUACACGAGGGCGUGUUAAAGUCAGGAUGGCCGUGUCGGCGCAUACCGAGUUUGUGUGUGUGAGGUUGUGGUUUUGCGCGUGUCGCCGCAUGUCGAGUUUGUGUGCGUGUGGUUGUAGUUUUGGAUAUUUCACAUUAAUGACAAUUUCAUCAUUAUUGUGAUAUUGCAUCAGCCUCUAAUUGUGUUGUGAUUGGUUGCUUGUAUUUUGUCGCUUUAAGAAGUACCGUUUUAGCGGGGCACCAGCGUUCUGACGCUGUCGCCGAGUGUGGUUCGAUGGCAUGAUUCAAUUAUAGAAGGUUAGGUAAGUAAACAGCUUUCUCGCUCCCUCUUGACAUAUCGGCUCCCUUAUUUGAAAACGUGUUGCUUCUUUACAAAAAAAAGUACCUAUUUCACAAAAAAAAUUUUGAAUUGUAGUAAAAACUAAACUUUUGGUGCAAAUUAUUUGGUCGGCAACACCGUUUCCACUUUGACGCUUUGCUUUGUUAUUAUUCGUUGAAAAUCUUUUAUCUGUUUGUAAACAUUCAAGUCGAUUAUGUCUUACAUAUGGUGAUAGUCGAUUAUUUGGAGUCGGCUUUCUGCUGCAGAAAACCACCGGUUUGUGAAUUUUCAUACAUGUUUUUAUAGCAGCGUUUUUGCAAAUAUAACAGAGACCACCUUACAUACAAUACAUAAACUACAGUUAGACUUCACAGACGGGCAAUUGCUGCGGAAGGUGUGUGUUGAAGAGCUAGGUGGCCCAACUAUUGUGGUUUUUAGAAACGAAACGCGCGUAUUUCUACCAUUGUCUCAUGUGGUGCUACGGACAAUUUCAUAGGAGGCAUGGAGCGUGUUGUGUAUGAUGGUGCAAAUACCUGUUUAACAUGUGACGGUCAUUAUGUGCCUAGUACUGCUACCUCUGAAAUCAAUUUGACUUCCGAACUGGCUGUCCACGUCGAUACCUUACCCCAUCUAGAACAAUAUGCUGUACGUAGAUGUAUGCGCAACACCUACACGAAAAUGAUCGACUGAACUUCUGCUUUCGCAAUGUCUUUACGGUAACAUACUACAUGUAUCUACAUGUAUUGUUAUGCACGAAAUAAGAAAAAAAAUUAAACUUUCUGUUUCAUCUCAUUCCUGUCGAUUAAGUAUAUUUUGACCUUUGGUGUAUUAAAAGACUUGUACUAUUGUAGUAAAUUAAACACAUUAAAUUCCUUUAUUAUGACUAUUUUUUGUUCUCUUCCACAAAAUAUACUCAAAUCUAUUGCAAGAUUAUAUAUAUAUAUAUAUAUAUAAUUGGCGCGGGUGGGGUGUUUGGCCGAGCUCUUCCUCCUAUUUGUGGUGUGCGUCUUGAUGUUAUUCCACAAAUGAAGGGACCUACAGUUUCAAGCCGACUCCGAACGGCAGAAAAAAAACACAUACAUAAGUAACAUCACAUAGUUCUGCGUGCUCUUGUGUUAGAUAAACAUCCAAAAUAUUCUAAAUAAAUAUUACAUUUGUUUAAAGAAAAA